AUCAACUAUGGCCUGAGUAUGAUACACUUAUCCAUGGUUUAAACAGAAUAUAUUGUUUUCAACUUUGAAAAUUAAAAUAUGGAAAUCCAGAUGCAGAAAUGUGAGAAGAGUGGAAGGUCAGGUGACCUUGCCUGUCACGAAUAUGAAGGUCAAGGUUUGUGAAUUGUGAAAUGUCCAAGAGAACCUCACUGAAGCAAAGAAUGGAGAAAGAACGCAUUUGGCCCUGGGAGGGUGCAGGGGUGAAUGGUGCAGGAGCUAAAUCUUUAUCAUACCCAGAAAUCAACAGCCACUAUUUGAAAUCAUCUAAAUUCACGCUGCUAACCUUCAGUGUACACACGAAUCACCUGGGGAUCUUAUUAAAAGCUAGUUUCUGAUUCACUAAAUCUGUGUGCAGUGGAAGUUGAGGGCAGAGAAGCUCCCAAGGGUGUCAAGCUGGCCCUGAACCAGACUUUGAGGGUUAAGGUCCCAAAUGGCAUCGCCAGCACCAGGGACAGACACUAAAAUUGUAGAAAUCGUGUCAAGAAAUGAACAGCCUCUAAGUCACAUGUUGAAUGUGAAAGAAAUCAGGGUGUGUACGUGUGUGUGUGUGCA
rnacentral:lncRNA from 1 species